AUUGAACGCUGGCGGCAGGCCUAACACAUGCAAGUCGAACGGUAACAGGAAGAAGCUUGCUUCUUUGCUGACGAGUGGCGGACGGGUGAGUAAUGUCUGGGAAACUGCCUGAUGGAGGGGGAUAACUACUGGAAACGGUAGCUAAUACCGCAUUACGUCGCAAGACCAGAGAGGGGGACCUUCGGGCCUCUUGCUCUCGGUUGAGCCCAGCAGGGAAUAGCUAGUGGGUGGGGUAACGGCUCACCUGGGCGACGAUCACUAGCCGGUCUGAGAGGAUGACCAGCAACACUGGAACGAAGACACGGUCCAGACUCCUACGGGAGGCAGCAGUGGGGAAUUUUGCACAAUGGGCGCAAGCCUGAUGCAGCCAUGCCGCGUGGAUGAAGAAGGCCUUCGGGUUGUAAAGUACUUUCAGCGGGAAGGAAGGGAGUAAAGUUAAUACCUUGACUCAUUGACGUUACCCGCAGAAGAAGCACCGGCUAACUCCGUG
rnacentral:rRNA from 1 species